rnacentral:rRNA from 1 species
ACUGCAUGAAGCUGGAAUCGCUAGUAAUCGCGAAUCAGAAUGUCGCGGUGAAUACGUUCCCGGGUCUUGUACACACCGCCCGUCACACCAUGGGAGUUGGUAACGCCCGAAGUCAGUGACCCAACCGGAAGGAGGGAGCUGCCGAAGGCGGGACCGGUAACUGGGGUGAAGUCGUAACAAGGUAGC